AUUGAACGCUGGCGGCAGGCCUAACACAUGCAAGUCGAACGAGUGGCGGACGGGUGAGUAAUGUCUGGGAAACUGCCCGAUGGAGGGGGAUAACUACUGGAAACAGUAGCUAAUACCGCAUACCAUCGGAUGUGCCCAGAUGGGAUUAGCUAGUAGGUGGGGUAACGGCUCACCUAGGCGACGAUCCCUAGCUGGUCUGAGAGGAUGACCAGCCACCCUGGAACUGAUACACGUUCCCAGACCCUACGGGAGGCAGAGGUGGGGAAUAUUGCACAAUGGGGGCAAGCCUGAUGCAGCCAUGCCGGGUGUAUGAAGAAGGCCUCCGGGUUUUAAAGUACUUUCAGCGAGGAGGCGUUACUCGCAGAAGAAGCACCGGCUAACUCCGUGCCAGCAGCCGCGGUAUUC
rnacentral:rRNA from 1 species